rnacentral:rRNA from 1 species
CCUACGGGGGCUGCAGUGGGGAAUAUUGGACAAUGGGCGAAAGCCUGAUCCAGCCAUGCCGCGUGUGUGAAGAAGGCCUUCGGGUUGUAAAGCACUUUCAGUGGGGAAGAAAGCCUUGGGGCUAAUACCCUCGAGGAAGGACAUCACCCACAGAAGAAGCACCGGCUAACUCCGUGCCAGCAGCCGCGGUAAUACGGAGGGGUGCGAGCGUUAAUCGGAAUUACUGGGCGUAAAGCGCGCGUAGGCGGUCUGAUAAGCCGGUUGUGAAAGCCCCGGGCUCAACCUGGGAACGGCAUCCAGAACUGUCAGGCUAGAGUGCAGGAGAGGAAGGUAGAAUUCCCGGUGUAGCGGUGAAAUGCGUAGAGAUCGGGAGGAAUACCAGUGGCGAAGGCGGCCUUCUGGACUGACACUGACGCUGAGGUGCGAAAGCGUGGGUAGCAAACAGGAUUAGAUACCCCAGUAGUC